GCACCGGCUAACUCCGUGCCAGCAGCCGCGGUAAUACGGAGGGUGCGAGCGUUAAUCGGAAUUACUGGGCGUAAAGCGCAUGCAGGCGGCCUGUUAAGUCAGAUGUGAAAGACCCGGGGCGUUAACCUCGGAAUUGCAUUUGAAACUAGGCAGGCUAGAGUCUUGUAGAGGGGGGUAGGAAUUUCUAGGUGUAGCGGUGAAAUAGCGUAGAGAUCUGAAGGAAUACCAGUGGCGAAGGCGGCCCCCUGGACAAAGACUGACGCUCGGAUGCGAAAGCGUGGGGAGCAAACAGGAUUAGAUACCCCUGGUAG
rnacentral:rRNA from 1 species